GUGGAUUAGAUACCCUAGUAGUCCACGCCCUAAACGAUGUCUACUAGUUGUCGGGUCUUAAUUGACUUGGUAACGCAGCUAACGCGUGAAGUAGACCGCCUGGGGAGUACGGUCGCAAGAUUAAAACUCAAAGGAAUUGACGGGGACCCGCACAAGCGGUGGAUGAUGUGGAUUAAUUCGAUGCAACGCGAAAAACCUUACCUACCCUUGACAUGUCUGGAACCCUGCUGAGAGGUGGGGGUGCUCGAAAGAGAACCGGAACACAGGUGCUGCACGGUUGUCGACAGCU
rnacentral:rRNA from 1 species